rnacentral:rRNA from 1 species
AUGCCGCCGUCCUUGCAGAUGUCCUUGACGCUGGCCCACGAGAGGAGCUCGACGUCGAACUGGAGCGUGGCGUUGGGCGGGAUCGUGGGCGGGGAGCCCGCCUCGCCGUACGCGAGGUCCGGCGGGAUGGUGAGGACGGCGUUCUCGCCCUUCUUCAUGGUCUUGAUGCCCUGGUCCCAUCCCUUGAUCACCUGCCCCUGCCCGAGCUUGAACUUGAAGGGAGUCCCGCGGUCUCGGCUCUCUAGGUGGAAUGGAAAGAUGAAGCGAUUAACGGGUGCGCGCUCGCUCGCGAUCUGCGUCUCUGCGCGUUCUGGAUGUUGUUUGCAGCCGGAGCAUGGCGUGGCUCGGAUCGGUGGCGUCUUAUAUGGCGGAGCAGAGAUUGUCGCGUUCAACGAUGUGGUGUUCUAG